UCUGGAGUGCUCACCUACACUAGGCUUGGGGACCAUGUUGGUGCCAUUUCCCCAGACUGGGUACUGACCUCUUCACAGUUCCCGUGGCGCCUGAAGGACUGGAGAGUUUAUGUUCCCAUGUCUCCUCUGGGUGUUGGCCAGAGCUGUGAUCACCAUGACGGGAAUCCUCCUUAUUUGCUCCUUAAGCAAAUAAUCCUUGUGUUUUUGAUUAUGCCCUUAAUCUUUGUCCUGAACUGCUGAUCUUCAGAGGGACCCAGGAGAAGAUGAGUCCACCGUUUCUACUGGGGAAAAAAAACAAAACAACAACAACAAAAAAACACAUCAAACUGUGGGACACUGGAUGGGUGGAUGGGCUAGGCCUGAAAAGAGAUUGCCAAAUACAAGUCCCUUCCAGAUGAAAAGUGGAUCCUUUAGGAAAAGGAGCUGUCAUCUUCAAAGUCAUCUCAUGAUCCGAAAAUGGCUGUUGCAGCUCCAGCCAACAGAGACACCCUGAAGGCCAGAAGAAGGAAGAAAGGCAAAGAUUCAUUAUCUUGAAUUUUUCAAUCUUCCGCUUUUCUUUAUAAUUUUAUUACCUGUAAGUAUACUCCUAAAAACCUUAUUUGGCCCACAGAGUAGGAGAAAAUCUUUGCAAUGAAGCAACCGACAAGGGAUUAAUCUCCAAAAUAUACAACAUCUCGCACAGCUUUAUAUGAAAGAUCCAAUCAAAAACUUUUCAGAAGAUCCCAAUGGACAUUUCUCCAAAAAAGACAGAUAGAUGGCUAAAAAGCACAUGAAAAGAUGCUCAAAUCACUAAUUAUUUAAAGAACUGCAAAUCAAAACUACAGUGCACUCCACAGAAAGUCUACAAACAAACGCCAGAGAAGUUGUGAAGAAAAGGGAACACUCCUACAAUGUUGGUGGGAAUAUAAAUUGGUGCAGCUACUAUGGAAAACAAUAUGGACGUUCCUUUAAAAACUAAACAUGGAACUACCGUAUGAUUCAGCAAUCCCACUCCUAGGCACAUAUCUGGAGAAAAUCAUAAAUUGAAAAGAUAUGUGCACCCCAGUAUUCAUUGCAGCACUAUUUACAAUAGCCAAGACAUGGAAGCAGUCUAAAUGUCCAUAAACAGAGGAAUGGAUAAAGAAGAUGUGGUACAUAUGGAAUAUAUAUGGAAUAAUGGAAUAUAACCCAGCCACAAAAAAGAAUGAAAUAAUGUCAUUUGCAGUAACAUGGAUGGACCCAAAAACUGUCAUACUAAGUGAAGUCAGAUAGAGAAAGACAGAUGUUAUAUGAGGUUACUAAUAUAUGGAAACUAGUAAAAAUUGUAUAAAAGAACUCAUGCACAAAACAAAAACAUACUCAAAGAUUUCAAAACCAAACUUAUGAUUACCAAAUGGGGAAUGUUGGGGGGAAGGAUAAAUUGGGAGGUUGAAACUGACAUAUAAACACUACUGUAUAUGGAAUGGAUGCGUAACAAGGACCUACUGUAUCACACAGGGAAAUCUACUCAAUACUCUGUAGUGACUUAUAUGGGAAAAGAAUCUGAAAAGGAAUGGAUAUAUGUAUACAUAUAACUGAUUCACUUUGUUCUAUAUCUGAAACUAAUGCAACAUUGUGAGUCAACUAUACUCCAAUAAAAUUUUUUACAAAAGUAA
rnacentral:lncRNA from 1 species